rnacentral:sRNA from 1 species
AGAAUGUUUGUCUGCCUGAUGAGAGCCACUUGGGUUAAGAAACUACCUAGUGUUGCAGAGAUAGGAACAUGGGAGAGAAACAAUCUGGAUAACAUGAAAGUGAUGCUGGUUGCUAAGGGAAGGCAACUUGAUUCUGUGGGAAGGGCUGUAGCUGAUCCAUCCGUUGUCUAG